rnacentral:rRNA from 1 species
AAAGUUGAAAGCACUUUGAAGAGAGAGUUAAACAGGACGUGAAACCGAUGAGAUGGAAACGGAUAGAGCCGACGUAUCUGGCUUGCAUUCAGCCGCUCGGUCGAUAGGCUGCUCGUGCUCUACGCCGCCUAGUCGAUGGUGCGUGAGUAUGGGUGAUUUGUUGAAUGGGGUGGUGCAAUUGUAGGUGAAGUGCGCCGAGGCAUGUUGGUCGGCUAUCGGGCCCCGCGUCCUGAGGAUAUUCGCUUCGCGGCGAGUAAAACCCGGACUGUCGGGUGUCGUGCGGUUGUUCGAUCGGCAUUGUUUUUGAGUGGGACUCGUGCUUUCGGGUGCGGGGACGCGUGUUCGCUCGUGUCGGGUUUCAGGUGGCGGUCGCAUGCGACGCGCGCUUGUUUGCUCGGCGCUUGUGGGCCCGUGUUCAGGUCUCGGAUCUCGGUGUAAGAGUUGGUCAUCUAUCCGACCCGUCUUGAAACACGGACCAAGGAGUUUAGCGUAUGCGCAAGUUAUUGAGUGUUCAAAACUCAUGAGCAGAACGAAAGUGAAUGGUGGCCUCGGUCAUCGUUAUGCGAUUCGUCGUGGCUGCGGCCCGGCGACGCAGCAUAGCCCUACUCCGGUUGCUUGCAACGGGGUGGCGGAAGAGCGUAUGCGGUGAGACCCGAAAGAUGGUGAACUAUGCCUGAGCAGGAUGAAGCCAGAGGAAACUCUGGUGGAGGUCCGAAGCGGUUCUGACGUGCAAAUCGAUCGUCUGA